rnacentral:rRNA from 1 species
UACGUAGGUGGCAAGCGUUGUCCGGAUUUACUGGGCGUAAAGAGCGCGCAGGCGGUCGAUCAAGUCGCGUGUGAAAGCCCCCGGCUCAACUGGGGAGGGUCACGCGAUACUGAUCGACUCGAAGGCAGGAGAGGGUAGUGGAAUUCCCGGUGUAGUGGUGAAAUGCGUAGAUAUCGGGGAGGAACACCAGUUGCGAAGGCGACUACCUGGCCUGUUCUUGACGCUGAGGCGCGAAAGCUAGGGGAGCAAACGGG